rnacentral:rRNA from 1 species
CCACGGAAUUUAGCAGAGAUGCUUUAGUGCCUUCGGGGAACCGUGAGACAGGUGCUGCAUGGCUGUCGUCAGCUCGUGUUGUGAAAUGUUGGGUUAAGUCCCGCAACGAGCGCAACCCUUAUCCUUUGUUGCCAGCGGGUUAUGCCGGGAACUCAAAGGAGACUGCCAGUGAUAAACUGGAGGAAGGUGGGGAUGACGUCAAGUCAUCAUGGCCCUUACGAGUAGGGCUACACACGUGCUACAAUGGCGCAUACAAAGAGAAGCGACCUCGCGAGAGCAAGCGGACCUCAUAAAGUGCGUCGUAGUCCGGAUUGGAGUCUGCAACUCGACUCCAUGAAGUCGGAAUCGCUAGUAAUCGUAGAUCAGAAUGCUACGGUGAAUACGUUCCCGGGCCUUGUACACACCGCCCGUCACACCAUGGGAGUGGGUUGCAAAAGAAGUAGGUAGCUUAACCUUCGGGAGGGCGCUUACCACUUUGUGAUUCAUGACUGGGGUGAAGUCGUAACAAGGUAAGCGUAGUGCU